ACCAACGACCAUACCGCGUUAAAUACACCGGUUCUCGUCCGAUCACUGGAGGUAAGCAACGUCGGGCGUAGUUGGUACUUGGAUUGGUGAUCGCUUGGGAACACUACGUGCCGUUGGCA